rnacentral:rRNA from 1 species
UACGAAGGGGGCUAGCGUUGCUCGGAAUCACUGGGCGUAAAGCGCACGUAGGCGGCUUCUUAAGUCAGGGGUGAAAUCCUGGAGCUCAACUCCAGAACUGCCUUUGAUACUGAGGAGCUUGAGUCCGGGAGAGGUGAGUGGAACUGCGAGUGUAGAGGUGAAAUUCGUAGAUAUUCGGAGGAACACCAGUGGCGAAGGCGGCUCACUGGUCCGGUACUGACGCUGAGGUGCGAAAGCGUGGGGAGCGAACAGG